GAAAUGCCUCCAUGGGAUCCAGCUGUAAGGCAUUUUCUCAAUUAGUGAUGAUUGGGGGCAGGCCCAGCCCAUUGUGGGUGGUGCCAUUCCUGGGCUGGUAGUCUUG
rnacentral:miRNA from 1 species